AGUGAUGGGCGAAGUCGUAACAAGGUAGCUGUAGGUGAACCUGCAGAAGGGUCA
rnacentral:rRNA from 1 species